rnacentral:lncRNA from 1 species
CUUUCAACAGCCGGCUUGAGUCACGCGUGGGAGGGAUCCAUUUCUAUACUUUGGAAGUGAAUGCAGAUUUUUCUAGACUUUACCCAUCUUUCGAAAACUUCUCUCUUAUGAUCUUGUUGAUGCGACCUCUACCGUGACCUUCCAACCUGCGGAUAUUUUCGGAUUUUCAGUUUAGUUUGGCAGAAGCUAACUUUCGCGAAUAUUCUACCGCUUACACAAUAAUCCAAAUUUGACGUGUCUCGAAACAGAAUUUAAUAAUUUGAAACCGAAACUACCCACUAACGAGCCGCGAUGAUUAUAAUUCGCAUUAGACUGGCCUUGGGUUCGCUGACGAAAUCUAAAUUUGCUUGUCAAUCAGUGAAUUUGAGAGAUUCCAAUGGUCGAUUAAGCUCCAGUGUAACGAAACAAAAACCUCUUGUCGUUCGAAACUUCGAUAGAGGAGAUAAGUCGGUCGCCUAGCAACAAUAUAACAAGAUUUUGCGUCAGCGCCUCGGGAUUACGUCACGUUAAAUAGCCAAUUUUUGUCACGGUGUCGAAUUAAAAUAAUAAUAACAAUAGUAUUCCCCGUUUAAAUUUUAAUAAAACCGGUCAAGUAAAUUAUAGAGAGAUUUUUAGAAACAGAUGUUUCCGUCAUCCACAAAAGUUGACAUUUAUGUAGUUAAAAAUAGUUUCGUCUAUAUUUAAGGAGAACUUAGUUAUUGUGGAGGAGAAUUCUUGCACAAGCCGAUACUUAAAAAGGUAAAUAAACAGGUCGAGCUGGAAGAAGAAGCGUGAGUAAAAGGUAUUUGUCAUCGGUAACGUUAUAAAAUAUGGCAAAUAUUGGCGUCAACACAUGGAAAAUUAAUGUAACCCUAAGAACCACGCGGCAGGUGAAGAGAGAAACAGGUAGGAGUGGCUAGGUGACAAAUAUGUGACGUCAGCAUUUUGUGGUUUAUUUUAAACCAUUUGUAUACUGAAAGUAAGAGGGUGGCCAAGUUCUCCAUUUAUUCCAGAUACAUUGUUAUUAUUUUGCAUAAAGUUGGCUGGUAAGAAUUAAUGGCGGUUAAAUUUAGCAGGUUUCGGCUGUAAAUCCCAACGACGUAAUAUUGCUUUCGGUAAGAAAAGUGGAGAUACGCUCCUCGUUUAAUUUCGACGAUUAAAUAAAUACCUUUAUUAAAUUCGAACGUAGACAGUCAGAAUUUUUUUAAGUCUAGUAAAAGAGGAUAAAAUUUAUCCUCUUAUCUGAAAAUCUUGGCGGCUUUGGAAAAACUACAGCGAAAUUGGUAUUAAAACCAGGUGAUCCUUUUACCGCGUCAUGUCUACUCCAACAGAUAAAGUUGCUGAAAGGAACAACAAUAAAAUUAUCUAAACAAAUAACAAACAUUAUUUAAUAACAUCUUACAUUUUCAUAUAAUUAGAUGUAUACAUAUAUAUAUUGGACGCAAAUUUUGAGUAAUCAGGUAUCCUGGUACGACAUCAGAUUUGAGUCGCUGAUGGGUUUUCUUUCGGAGCUCUUGUUCGGGGUCGAUUUCCUGGUCAGCAGUUUGUAAUGGGGACGCUUGUCGGCGUUCUUGCAUUUUUGGCCCAGAUUUUGGCAGAGAUUGCGUAUCAGCAGCAUGACUGUGUCCAGGAAGCCCAGAAGGGAGAAGACUGUUCGGAUACAGGACUGAAAAGUGGUCUCCUGAAUACCGAUCAGGUCCUUCUGACCGGGUUGCAUGCGGGUAUGCAGGGCCACCACGUUAGCUAGCAUGGAAACGCUAAUCUCUAGGUUCUUCAGCAAUAAUUUCAACCAAUCCGUGGUUGGAAUGGGCACGUUCUCUAGGAAACUGUAAGAAGAAUGAGACGACGGACUAUAGAUUAGAUUUUGUAUCAAAUGGCGGAUUUCCUGCUCGGGCAAAACCGAAACCAUCAGAGUUUCCAUUUCCUUACAGAUAUUCUUAAUUGUCUUGACUAUUAUUUGGUGAAAAUCUUGAUUCUGGAAUUUAUCGUUGUCGAAAUGUUCUGUAAUUUCGUUGGCGCUCGAAGAGUAAUGAGAGUUUUCCUCCGCGUAUGUUCUGUCUACCGAUUCUUGCUCAGUGCCUGAAAAUGGACAAGAAAACUCUAUUUUUCAUUACGAAAGUAAUUAUACAUAUUUUUCAAUUAUAAUUACAAAAUAGGUAUAAUUGCUAUUUCCUCGAUGAUAAUUUUCUAUGAAAAAGUUUGGUGGAACAACUCUCUCUUCACCAAUAAAACGGUUAUCAACGUUUAUUUUUACAUCUACUGUUGGAUAGCUUAAUAUGUACGGGUGAUUCGAAAAGGUUGUGCCAAAGUUUGCGGAGUUGUAGAGGAUGAAGUUGUGAGUGGGGAAUCUGGUUGCAUUUUUUGCUUUGGGG